CCUCCUGUAACCGAAUCUGGAACUGCUGCCUUAAAGGUCCACUGUCCACCUCCUGUCAUAAUGGUGAUAAUGGUAGUUAACCUCAGGGGUGAUGAUGGUGAUUAAUUUGCGGCGUGUGUGCAUUACCCCAAUCUCCCACUCUUCCUUCUAUAUUAUGUCUGGCAGCAUUCCUUCUUUCCUGCCUUCUGUGUUGUCUCGCCACCAUGCCUGCUGUGGUGUUGCCUAGGUCUAUUCUUGCUGUCUAUUCAUCUUACUCCUAAUUCUCCUACAUGUUCUCAUAUGUACACAACUUCCCUCCUUCGUUGCAGGUUUGCAGUGCUCAUUCGCUGGGAUUUCUGUGUUGGAAUUGCUCGUGGCUGUGUGGAUUACACCCAAUUGCAAGCAUCGCUUCUGGACAAGUUCCACAACUGACUCAUUCUUACAUAUUGUUGCCUUAUCAUCAUCUACUAUCUUUUUCUUUGUUACUGUGAUUUUAGUUGUUAAUUCUAUGUGAUUUGUUUGAUUUUCAUUCCAACCAGCCACAUCCAUUUUGUCUCUUUACUUUCCUUCUGUUUGUUUCAGAUUUCAUAUAACUGUUUGUGACACGUGCUGAACCUAAGUAGAAUAAAAAUGCCUAAAUGUUCUCAAUUA
rnacentral:lncRNA from 1 species